CACUAUUUACAUUGGUACCUUCAGGAAUGCGUCUUGUCACAUCUUAUCAGAGACAAUCAGAUCAUUCUUCAUGGCCGUGGCUCUCUACAAGUUGUAUAAAGUUUUCCAGUUGUAUUUCGAGACCUUCAUCGAGAGCUCUGAUCCUCAUCACCUCAAUCACAUCGAGAUGGCAGUGGAAGAGGUCACAGGGUAGUGAUAUUGCUCAC
rnacentral:lncRNA from 1 species